rfam:Gossypium arboreum cultivar AKA8401 contig_27938_1, whole genome shotgun sequence.
UGGGGCGUGGCCAAGUGGUAAGGCAACGGUUUUGGUCCCGCUAUGCGGAGGUUCGAAUCUUUUCGUCCCAG